rnacentral:rRNA from 1 species
CGCACUAGGGGGCAGCAGUGGGGAAUAUUGCACAAUGGGGGAAACCCUGAUGCAGCGACGCCGCGUGAGUGAUGAAGUAUUUCGGUAUGUAAAGCUCUAUCAGCAGGGAAGAUAAUGACGGUACCUGAUUAAGAAGCUCCGGCUAAAUACGUGCCAGCAGCCGCGGUAAUACGUAUGGAGCAGGCGUUAUCCGGAUUUACUGGGUGUAAAGGGAGCGCAGACGGCAGGGCAAGUCUGAUGUGAAAGUCCGGGGCUCAACCCCGGGACUGCAUUGGAAACUGUCCGGCUAGAGUGCAGGAGAGGUA